rnacentral:rRNA from 1 species
CCUACGGGAGGCAGCAGUGAGGAAUAUUGGUCAAUGGACGAGAGUCUGAACCAGCCAAGUAGCGUGAAGGAUGACUGCCCUAUGGGUUGUCAACUUCUUUUAUAAAGGAAUAAAACAAUGCACGUAUGCCUUUUUGCAUGUACUUUAUGAAUAAGUCUCGGCUAACUCCGUGCCAGCAGCCGCGGUAAUACGGAGGGUCCGAGCGGUGGUCGGAUUUAUUGGGUUUAAAGGUAGCGUAGAUGGAUGGUUAAGUCAGUUGUGAAAGUUUGCGGGUCAACCGUAAACUUGCAAUUGAUACUGGCAGUCUUGAGUACAGUUGAGGUAGGCGGAAUUAGUGGUGUAGCGGUGAAAUGCUUAGAUAUCACGAAGAACCCCGAUUGCGAAGGCAGCUUACUAAACUGUGACUGACAUUGAUGCUCGAAAGUGUGGGUAUCAAACAGGAUUAGAUACCCCAGUAGUC